rnacentral:rRNA from 1 species
CGGCAGCAGUGGGGAAUCUUAGACAAUGGGCGCAAGCCUGAUCUAGCCAUGCCGCGUGAGUGACGAAGGCCCUAGGGUCGUAAAGCUCUUUCGCCUGUGAAGAUAAUGACGGUAGCAGGUAAAGAAACCCCGGCUAACUCCGUGCCAGCAGCCGCGGUAAUACGGAGGGGGUUAGCGUUGUUCGGAAUUACUGGGCGUAAAGCGCACGUAGGCGGAUCAGAAAGUUGGGGGUGAAAUCCCGGGGCUCAACCCCGGAACUGCCUCCAAAACUUCUGGUCUGGAGUUCGAGAGAGGUGAGUGGAAUUCCGAGUGUAGAGGUGAAAUUCGUAGAUAUUCGGAGGAACACCAGUGGCGAAGGCGGCUCACUGGCUCGAUACUGACGCUGAGGUGCGAAAGUGUGGGGAGCAAACAGGAUUAGAUACCCCAGUAGUC